UGAGAAUAUUGCCUACGGAGACAACAGCCAGGUUUUAUCACAGGAUGAAAUUGUGAGUGCAGACAAAGCUGCCAAGACACAUUUUUUCUUAGAGACAUUACCCUACAAAUAUGAAACAAGACUGGAAGAUAAGGGGACUCAGCUCUCAGGAGGUCAAAAAACAGAGGAUUGCUAUUGCCUGAUCCCUCAUCAGAUAACCUCAAAUCCUACAGUUGGAUAAAGCUACAUAUCAGCUCUGGAUACUGAAAGCGGAAAAGUCGUACAAGAAGUCCUGGUUAAAGCUAGAGAACGUCGCGCCUGCAGCGUGAUCACUCAUCACCUCACCACCUGUCCACCAUUCAGAGCACAGACUUAAUAGUGGUAUUUUAGGAUGGAAAAGUCAAGGAGCACGGCAUGCAUCAACAGCUCCUGGUACAGAAAAGCAUCUGCUUUUCAAUGGUCAGUGUCCAGACUGGGACACAGAACUUAUGA
rnacentral:lncRNA from 1 species